UGUGUGUGUGUGUGUGUGUGUGUGUGUGUGUUCUAUUGUGCAGCUUUAACAAUUUUACUUUUGAUGUAAAUUCCCCUUUGGGUAAUUGUUCUUUCCUACUUUUGCUUCUUCAUUUGUGUAUUUGGCACAUUAAUAACUUCAUCUCAACAAAAGCUUUAGCUGUCCAGUGUGGUCCGAGUCCGUUGUGAAAUAUUUCUCCGGGGCCUUUGUGUGUGCUGGAACGUUCCACUGGGCAGGAGGAUAUCACUUGUCUGCUCAUCUUUUAUUCAACUGGUGCUGCGAGGCUGACAAAGGCAAGGUAUUGAGUUCAUUAUAAUCUCCAGUUUCUUUGGAUCCGGCACGUUCACCCAGAGUUAACUCAGCUAAGCAUGCCAUUCAUUCUCUUCAUUCAACUAUUAUCCUGUCCAGUGUUAUCUCUGCUGCGGACAUGCGAGACAUUGUGUAUUUUUAUUGUGCAAUUAAACCAAUAUCAUACCGAUAUCACCAAUAAUACAUUCUAAACAUUUAUUGCUCUGUUGAAUAGCCUUUCUUAUUACACUGAUAAUAUUUAUUUCAUUACAUUUAUUUAUAAAGCUCAACUGUCACAAACCAGUGCACAUUUCCUGUUUCUUUUUAAUUUUGCAGUUGUAACACACAAUCCAAUCAUCAUUUAACCUGGAACACCCCUCGGUUACAUAACCAUGAAAGCAGAAUCUUUUCUGCUGAGAUUCACAAAAACCUGUUUAACGUUUGUGAGUCUGAUGCAGUAGUCUGUACGUGUUGUUGCAUGACUGUUGGCUGUCUGAGUUAUUAUCGGUUUAGCCGUUCUCCUUUAAUUCCUCCACAGCAUCUGCAAGGUAUUUAAAGAGGCUCCGUAACGAUUUUGGUUGUAAGGUCGCUCUAACUAAGACAACCUGGUCCUAGGUUGAUUUAAGGUGUAGUCAAGCAUGUAGAGCAUGUAAAUGAUGCCACACGUUGUAGUAAGUCAGGUAACAAGUUUUCUGAUUCCCCCCGACCCUUCACAUACGGUGUCAACGAGCAGGGAAAACCAGGGAUUACAUGCAUGGGUGAGUCAAAGUCAGCCACCUCUAGUGAACAGUUGUACUCCUCUUCCAUUUGAGCGCCGUGGCUCCGGAGAACCCUCAGGGCAGCAGGACCUUUUGUUUGCAGCCUUCCCAGUAUCUGUGCCUCAUCACCAUCCUGCAGGCAGUUCCUGCCGACCUCAUGGUUUGGUUUUUGCUCCGAUAUGCAACGGGGCUGCGAGUCCUUGAAUGUGUCCUCUCCAAUUCAGUCGGUUCAGUCGAGGCGCAGAAACACAUCUCAAGGAGGAUCAAGAGCCACAAACUUAAUGUCAAGUGUCACAAAGGGCCAUGUCAAUGUGAUAUGACAGGUUUUCCUUUCAAACAAAUCAUUUUUGCUUUGUCGUUAUGGGGCGUUGAGCGUAGAUUCGCCACGGUUGUUUUUGAAUAAAAGCAUAAGGAUGCAGCAUGUAACAAAACCAAACAAACGUGACGAAAAAAUGAAGGGGUCUGAACACGUUACUGUAUCUAUGUAUAUAAACUGUAGGGAGACAUUCAUUUCACCAGUUGUUCAAAGUCAUGGCUCUCCAUAACUCUAUUAUGAAGUAAGAUUUGCAGCAGCUCAGUGUCAUCUAACCAAAGGCCCUGAACACCCUGGUUUCCUGAUGCACGCUUUCCCAGAUUUCCUCUUUCAUCAACACCAUAUGCGAAGGGGUCGAGGGGAUUAUGAGCAACGGCAUGCUUGAAAUUCCAGUCCGCUGAAUUUACUACCUGAUUUAUGGCAGCAUAUGGCUCUUUUACAGGAUGCUAUACUUUACAACACCUUAAAUCAAAAUGCAGGGACGCUUUUUAAAAAUGUAUACUAAUAGACCCCUUAUAUAGUCAUCACUUACUGAGGUUGAGAUGUCUUUCAAGUGAAAUAGUGGAUCGAAUACAGACCCUGCUUGAAUACCUUCCAGAUACUGUGAAGAAACGAAAAUAGGACACGAGUCCAGCUAAUAACAAGUCACACAGCCAACAUUCAGCCAACGAGUACAAACGAAUAGACCGGUCAGCUCCUGCAGACGAUGAUGACUGGGCGACAUGUACAUAGAGCGUUUCUAGACGACCACUCAAAGCGCCUUAGACUACACCGCCAUUCACACAGCCAUCGGAUGGGCAGCUCCCAUCACACAUCGUUCACCCUCCGGGGGCGAGCGGGCCACACGGACGGCCGGAGUCACCUCUCACACGAAGGUCUGCACCCGCAAAUGGUUGUGCAAAUGGCCCCUUCGAGGUUCAGACCGUGUCAUGCGCAAGGAACCGCGAUUUUCUGCUUAGCGGACGACCUGCCCAAGGCCAUGAACUUACAAAAAUACUCCGUCUUAGCAGUCAGCUCUGCUGUAAGCAAUCCACCAUCCCACCGGCCCCACGGAGCUCUAAACACGACCACCUCUUCCAGUGGCCUCGAGCGGCCAUCCCGGCCAUGGACCCACCAUUCCCAUACAUCCUUCCUGCAUGCACCACAAGAUUCCUGGGAAGCAGAAGAAUCAAAAGAGGGGAAUACGCAGCAACGAUAAAGAUUGGGGAAACAUGAGUCUCUUCCAUCACGGAGAAUGGCGCGUCUGCUGAUGGACGUGCACGCGUCUAAACACAACUGUCAUUUGUCUCCCUACCAACUCUUUGCAGCGCACGUACGUGGCUGACGGAGACGCGGCCACUUGCAGACGCUUGAACCAACACCUGGGGCGGCUCCUCUUGUCCCGGCUCUGUUUGACAAGUGGAUGUUGACAGACGCCGAAUGACUCUCACAGGCUCUUCCGAUGUCUUACCCCCUCUGCACUUAUCCACGAGCAACUCAAACAGUGAACAAUGAGGUCAUCUUUCAGUGUACGGCGAAAAGUACCAAGUAUGAUCACCAGUCUUGACGUCUCAUUCCUUUUGUUCAGUAAAGUAGUGCAGUGCUCGCUCAAAAGGUGCCUCUCUGUUAUUGUUGGCUUUUUUUCUUUUUUUGUGUACCCUGUCAAAUUGUCUGGGCGCUCCGUUGCCCUCGUAGUGUAGCUCUGCCUUCUCUCUGCCUUUUCUUUCCACCGUGUCGAGUAACGUGUUGAAAAGCGAUGUUAGAAGUUUCCUCAAGACACCAAACUUCAUUGUUUUCUCAUCAACAGGCAAAGUUUGAAAUCGAUCGAUAAGUUGUCGAGAAAAAAGUCGAAACGCAGACAGAGACGCCUGCAUGUAUAGAUCGAUAUAUGAGGACAAAGUAUGGAAACUGUUUUAUCCUGUGUUCACUUUUUGAACAUUUCAAGAUUUCAAAAUAUUUGGUGAAUGAAAUGUAAUUCCAUCCCCCUUCGAAAUCCCCCAGUAGCCUGUAUCCAUUACUCAAAACCACAGCGUCUUAACCCCAGGACAUUAUAUUUUGAAUCACGCCGUCGUUUAGGUUCAGUGCUCCCGUCAUAAAAAUGGGAUUAAGGGUCACCAGUUUAAGAAAACACACUGGGAGGGAAGACGGCCCUGUGUCAAGGCUCAUGCUGUGGGCUGGAUUGACUUUGUUUUUUUGUUCUUCGCUCCUCCCUGCUGAGUGUGUGUGUGUGUGUGUGGGGGGCAGUAGGUGCGGCUGUGGGCGUGGCUUCCUCCUUGGCACCUGGCUGGGCCUCACACCAGUUCCUGGUCCUGCUUAUAGAAGCUGUGUCUCUCCGUGCUCUUGUCUCGUCAGAUGGUUUUCCCCGCUCAGUGGUACCACACGCUUGUGAUUCUCAGAACUAAUUUUGAUUCUAGUGGGGUUUGCUGGAAGCUUAUGCCACUCUGCUUGGCCCUGGACCCGACGUGUCCGUCAAGCUCUCGCAGAGAUCGCCUUGCAUGGAAGCCUCAGCCCUUUGUCCCAAGCCGUUUGCCUGCCUUGCCCCUGCUCACCUGCCGUCCUGCUCAGAAUCACAACCUCUGCUCAAUAUCCAAUCACCAGUUUUGUAUUAAAUAUUAAAUAUUAAAUAUUAAAGUCCCCCUCCACUCAUAAAAGUGUUUUUCUUCUGUUCCUGUCCUCUACAGUGACUAGUAUCUGAGCACAUGUUGUCACUAUAGAGGUGUUUUCACAUUCCUCUCCUGGAGUAGGAGAUUUCUGUACACCAAUUUAAAAUUCAAACGAAUCCUGGCAAGCUAGAUUUGGUACGUCACAAAUGCAGAAAACCAAUCGCUGUCCAAUAUGCUGCAGAGGCAACGCGUCCACGAGAGGACGGCAGGUGUGUCAGCAGACAGUGAGCGAGCGUUGGCGCCGAUGUCGCCGCCAGCCAUCUUGUUGCGCACGUUCUUCCACCGGUCGACCUGGCGCGAGCAGCUGUGGUGGGCGGGGCCUGUGUUAUUUGCAUAUAAUGAAUAUUCAUUGUCUCAGAUUUCCUCAAUGAGGGAGAGAGUGGAUGGCUUCCAGGCCCAUUUCAGAGGGUUUUUUAACAAAACUUUUUAGGCGAUAAACAAUGUAAAAGAAAAUAUUACACAUAGCAAACUAUUUUCAUGUACUGUAAAACGUGACUGGUGGGGUUCUUUAAACUUCUCCUCGUGUCUGUGGUCUGCUUUCGAGUCCUAAACCUUGGUGAAACACAACAGACUAGUCCAGACUGAGGAAAUGACUGUUGGAACAGAUGCAGGAGGGUUCUAGACUGUCCCAGGAUCCAUCCAUGACCGAAUGUUUUGUGUAACUGGAAUGUUGAUAUUAUUAGGUUAAAUAUCCCUGAUAAUAGACUGUCCUGGGGAAUUGUCUUUGUUAUUCUAGGGAUCUGGGCAGGGUUAAAGCUGUCUGCAACUCCACAGCAUGUCUGAAGGUCAAUGACCUGCAGGCUCCCUGCUUAAUAUUUCAAAUCAGCCUCUGUUUACUUAACUCACGUUGACUUUGAUCUAAUGAAAUUGAAGUUUUUGACAAAUUCUCUUCUAUAUAUUAUAUUUAUAUUUAUAUCUAUAUCUAUAUCUAUAUCUAUCUAUAUAGAUAUAGAUAUAUACAUUUAAUAAUAAUUCUAAUAAUAAACUAUUUCAUGAUUCAUUAGUCAUUUUCACUGACUUGAGGGGGGUGUCAAAUGGUAACUUGCGCUUCUCUCUUUCUGACCAUUCUCUAUAGUUCUUCCCUUACCAUAGAGCACACCAAACAUC